GACGUAGGGCGCGAGCGUUGUCCGGAUUUAUUGGGCGUAAAGAGCUCGUAGGCGGCUUGUCGCGUCGACUGUGAAAUCCCGAGGCUCAACUCGGGCUUGCAGUCGAUACGGGCAGGCUAGAGUUCGGUAGGGGAGACUGGAAUUCCUGGUGUAGCGGUGAAAUGCGCAGAUAUCAGGAGGAACACCGAUGGCGAAGGCAGGUCUCUGGGCCGAUACUGACGCUGAGGAGCGAAAGCGUGGGGAGCGAACAGG
rnacentral:rRNA from 1 species